rnacentral:rRNA from 1 species
AACGAACGCUGGCGGCGUGCCUAACACAUGCAAGUCGAGCGGGAAAAUGGGGGCAACCCCAUGAGUACAGCGGCGCACGGGUGAGUAACACGUAGGUAACCUACCUAUGAGCCUGGGAUAACCUGCCGAAAGGCGGGCUAAUACCGGAUAAGACCGCGGGGGCUGCGGUCCCUGGGGCAAAAGGUGGCCUCUCCAUGGAAGCUACUACUCGGAGAUGGGCCUGCGCGCCAUUAGCUAGUUGGCGGGGUAAUGGCCCACCAAGGCUUAGAUGGCUAGCUGGUCUGAGAGGAUGGCCAGCCACACUGGGACUGAGACACGGCCCAGACUCCUACGGGAGGCAGCAGUGGGGAAUAUUGCGCAAUGGGCGAAAGCCUGACGCAGCGACGCCGCGUGGGUGAUGAAGGCCUUCGGGUCGUAAAGCCCUGUCGGGAGGGACGAAACCUCGGUGACCCAAUACGUCAUCGACCUGACGGUACCUCCUAAGGAAGCACCGGCUAACUCCGUGCCAGCCGCCGCAGUAAAAC